GAUGAAGAACGUAGCGAAAUGCGAUAAGUAAUGCGAAUUGCAGAAUUUCCGUGAGUCAUCGAAUCUUUGAACGCACAUUGCGCCCUCUGGUAUUCCGGGGGGCAUGCCUGUUCGAGCGUCAUUGCAACCCCUCAAGCACAGCUUGUGUGUUGGGCUCUCGUCCCCUGUGGACGGGCCUGAAAUGCAGUGGCAGCACCGAGAUACCGGUGUCUGAGUGUAUGGGCAUUGAUCAUCACUCGAUAGACCCGAUCGGCGCUGACCGUCAAACCACGAUUCCUCGGAAUCAUCCAGUUUUGACCUCGGAUCAGGUAGGAAUACCCGCUGAACUUAAGCAUAUCAAUAAGCGGAGGA
rnacentral:misc_RNA from 1 species